GAGAUACUCCAUCCGUCCGAAAAAACUUGUCACAAGCUUGUCCCUCAAAUGGAUGUAUCUAGCACUAACUUGGUGCUACAUACAUUCAUUUGAGAGACAAGCUUUUUCGGACGGAGGGAGUACAUG
rnacentral:pre_miRNA from 1 species